CCCAGUUUGUAGAUUGAUAACAAGGUGUUUUAAAAGGUGGUGAACGUUAAUUUGUUUUAAAGUGACAGAGGAGAUAGUUGAUAUUUACUGUAUCUGUAUGUUAUGUUUUGUGUAUAUAUAUUUAUAUAUAUAUAUAUAUAUUUGUGUUUAUUUAUUACCCAUUUUUCACAAAUAAAAUGUCAUAUUCCUAAAAAAGAAUAAAUGAUUAUGAUCAUUAAAUACAUCUACGUUUAAUUACCCCGUUAUAUAAUGAAAUAACACCGUGUGUGUAGCGUAACAGAUGUCAAAUUCUUCCAGACGACAAGCUCAGUCCAUUCCAGUGUCUUCCUGUUCUUAUCGCGGCUCCUCAAUGGAAAUCCGCAACACAUUUUGUUCCUAACCACCAAGCAUGGCCCUUUGGGAAUAGAAUGGCCAAUGUAAUUUGACACUUCAACUUACUGUGCUCUCUAUCUUAGUUGAUUCACCCACUGACGUUGAGCCCCAGUCAUUCUCAGUGGUAGUCACUAGAGGAAGAUCAUUAAAAAAAAAUAAAAAAAAAACAAGAUCCUGAAUAUUACUAAAGAGGACUUUCUCCGAGUCGUUUCGCCACUCGCUUUAAAUCUGGAGCAGCAGAAUCUGGGGCGGAGGACCAAUACCUGACAUGGGGGGGUGGGGGGGUCUGAGGUGGCGGCAGACAGAGAGACACGGAGGAAGAAGAAUCCAGGGUUUACAGUCAACACAGGUGAGUUCCUUUCCUCAUUAAACUAUCUCACCCUUUUCCCAAUGCAGAGCCUGGGCUCUAAACUCUGGGAUAGUGUUUGGUUGGUCCUACUUGUUAUAAACUCUGGGACAGUGUUUGGUUGGUUCUACUUGUUAUAAACUCUGGGAUAGUGUUUGGUUGGUUCUACUUGCUAUAAACACUGGGAUAGUGUUAGUGCAGGGUAGCCUAGUGGUUAGAGCAUUGGACUAGUAACUGGAAGGUUGCAAGUUCAAAACCCCAAACUGACAAAGUACAAAUCUGUCGUUCUGCCCCUGAACAGGCAGUUAAC
ensembl:lncRNA